rnacentral:rRNA from 1 species
UACGUAGGGGGCAAGCGUUGUUCGGAAUUACUGGGCGUAAAGGGCGCGUAGGCGGUACUUCAAGUCAGGCGUGAAAGCCCCGGGCUCAACCUGGGAACCGCGCUUGAGACUGGAGAACUAGAGUUCGGGAGAGGAUGGUGGAAUUCCCAGUGUAGAGGUGAAAUUCGUAGAUAUUGGGAAGAACACCGAUGGCGAAGGCAGCCAUCUGGACCGACACUGACGCUGAGGCGCGAAAGCGUGGGGAGCAAACAGG